AUUGAACGCUGGCGGCAGGCCUAACACAUGCAAGUCGAGCGGAUGAAGGGAGCUUGCUCCUGGAUUCAGCGGCGGACGGGUGAGUAAUGCCUAGGAAUCUGCCUGGUAGUGGGGAUAACGUCCGGAAACGGGCGCUAAUACCGCAUACGUCCUGUGGGAGAAAGUGGGGGAUCUUCGGACCUCACGCUAUCAGAUGAGCCUAGGUCGGAUUAGCUAGUUGGUGGGGUAAAGGCCUACCAAGGCGACGAUCCGUAACUGGUCUGAGAGGAUGAUCAGUCACACUGGAACUGAGACACGGUCCAGACUCCUACGGGAGGCAGCAGUGGGGAAUAUUGGACAAUGGGCGAAAGCCUGAUCCAGCCAUGCCGCGUGUGUGAAGAAGGUCUUCGGAUUGUAAAGCACUUUAAGUUGGGAGGAAGGGCAGUAAGUUAAUACCUUGCUGUUUUGACGUUACCAACAGAAUAAGCACCGGCUAACUUCGUG
rnacentral:rRNA from 1 species